rnacentral:rRNA from 1 species
AGGGAAUCUUCCACAAUGGACGAAAGUCUGAUGGAGCAACGCCGCGUGAGUGAUGAAGGGUUUCGGCUCGUAAAACUCUGUUGUUGGAGAAGAACAGGUGUGAGAGUAACUGUUCACAUCUUGACGGUAUCCAACCAGAAAGCCACGGCUAACUACGUGCCAGCAGCCGCGGUAAUACGUAGGUGGCAAGCGUUGUCCGGAUUUAUUGGGCGUAAAGCGAGCGCAGGCGGUUUCUUAGGUCUGAUGUGAAAGCCUUCGGCUUAACCGGAGAAGUGC